GCCCUCAUAGCUCAACGGAUAGAGUAAGACCCUUCUAAGGUCGAGAUGGAAGUUCGAUUCUUCCUGAGGGCG
rnacentral:tRNA from 1 species